rnacentral:lncRNA from 1 species
GGCUUUUCGUCUCUGUUCAGCGGGGAAGCAGCGAGGUUCCCUCCAGAUAGCGGUGAAGGGCGGCUUCCUAACUUUGUUUCCCAAGUCCCCUAACUUCGGAAUGCUUCUGCAUUGGUUCUUGCUCAGUGUCAUACCAGCGACUCCAAGAGUCAUGUCACCCACUUAGCAGGAGUACUUCUACUGAAAUGCCUUCGAAUUUCUCUUACUGGAUAUAUACCUACCAGCCGCUAGCAUGAAGAUGCCAGGACCGCUGCAAGUUAGCACUGGACAAAGUAGCAUCAACUUCUUCAUUUAGAGUUUCUUCAGUUAAAUUGCUGGGAUUUUCGACAAGGCUUUCCUUAUGUGGAUUAUUGGAGUGUGAUGCCCGAGAAUUCUCUACUUGUAGAAGCACGCCCACGGGACUGCAGAAGCCUUCACACCCACCCAGCACGCUCAGAUGGGAAUGAGUGAUGGCCAUCCAGUGACCAGCUGGAUCUGACUGCCUUACAAGACGCAUGUGAAGACGAAACUCGGGUUUCCAUGAGGAGACCACAGCUUGGGAUCCUGUCUGGAUGUACAAGCAGAAGCAUCUUCAUACUUUUCCAUUUCUAACCAUCAUGCCUCACCCCACCCUCCCAAGGCGACAUCUGCAGAGAGGUGGAACCAUCUAGGGAGGCCUGCCACUGUUUGCUGAGCUCCGGGUGAGGAUGAAGACACUUUGACAUGGCCAGCUUCAGACUCGGGAUCUGUCGGUGUUAGCAGCCGAAGGAGAAUGAGGAGGAAGAGGAGGAGAAAGAGGAGGAGGAAGUAAGACAGAGGGGGACAAGAGGACCAAGAGGGCACAUGGCUGAGGAGGAGGAGAACAACAACAACAACAACAACAACAACAACAACAAGAAGCUUGGUGUUUUCAGGAUGUGUUCCUGAGUCUCGUGAGUAGCACAUGGCAGUUGUUGUCACCUUGGGCUGAGCCGUGAAGAUUCUCACCCUCCCUUGUUGGGGAUGAACUCCGGGAUUCUAAGGAGAGGUCAGCAGGUGUUUCACAGACUGUUCCUGUUGGAGGAUUUGUCUGAUACUCUUCUCCUGAUUAGUCUGGGCUCUACAUUUCCCCAAGGGUGAAACUUGGAAGCCCUCUCCAGGAUGCAGCAGGUAGCUGAGGAGAAAACGAAGACUGACCAGCCCAGAGCUCAGAGCUUCCUCCCAUGCUCAGGAUUUACCACCAAUGCCAUUACAUCGGCCUCUUCUUGUAUGCCUCUGGAAACCACAUGUGUCCUCUGUUUGUAAUGGUUUGGCUAUGGUUGCUGGCCCCUCUUGGACAUUGUUUUCAGAACUUAAAGAAACAUUGCUUUAAAGAUUUAUUAGAACAUAUUUAAAAUAAAACCAUCUUCUCAUUUAGUAUGCAA